rnacentral:rRNA from 1 species
AUUGAACGCUGGCGGCAUGCCUUACACAUGCAAGUCGAACGGCAGCGCGGGAGCAAUCCUGGCGGCGAGUGGCGAACGGGUGAGUAAUAUAUCGGAACGUGCCCAGUAGGGGGGGAUAGCCCGGCGAAAGCCGGAUUAAUACCGCAUACGACAUACGGGUGAAAGGGGGGAGCGCAAGACCUCUCGCUAUUGGAGCGGCCGAUAUCAGAUUAGGUAGUUGGUGGGGUAAAGGCCUACCAAGCCUGCGAUCUGUAGUUGGUCUGAGAGGACGACCAGCCACACUGGGACUGAGACACGGCCCAGACUCCUACGGGAGGCAGCAGUGGGGAAUUUUGGACAAUGGGCGCAAGCCUGAUCCGGCAAUGCCGCGUGCAGGAAGAAGGCCUUCGGGUUGUAAACUGCUUUUGUCAGGGAAGAAAUCCUCUAGGCUAAUACCUUGGGGGGAUGACGGUACCUGAAGAAUAAGCACCGGCUAACUACGUGCCAGCAGCCGCCGUAACAC